AAAAUUAAAAAGAGUAAAAAGGAUAAAGAGCGAGAUCGAAACCGUGCUGAACUUCUUGAUUUCUUGAACUCUGCUUUGUAGUGAAAGGGCUGCUAAGCAAGGACCAAUAAAUCUGUCAACCUUUGUGGUUAUCGUGUGCUCCUGAAAGCACCAAAUAGAAGCUUAGAGCAAGAGGGGUGAAAGUACACAUCACGUGAUGAGCUGAAGCUGUCCUGCUGUGAAGAUAAUUGAUACCUCCUUUACAACAGGCAAAGAACUGACAACUUGCCAACAAAGAGCCAUGUUAUUGUUUCUGUGACACUAGCAGAAGUAGGGAGAAUGCUUAAAAAUGCUCCAAAGUGAGAUGGUGAUUGAAUUUAGGCCUACUAUGAAUAUCCCAAACUGCAUGCAGAAUACAACAUCAGUUGUCCUUUGUCAUUGAUGUUAAAGCUGAAUACUUUGAAAAUAAGUUCGUUAGAAAGAAGCAUCCCUAUGUAUAUAGAUAUUUUUAGUACUGAGGAUAUUUGUUUGUAAACAUCUUUCUUAGUAGUGUGUAUACUAGCUACAUUAAUACAGUAGUACCUUCAAAAAUAUUAUUUCUUCAAUGUAAUGUGUUUUUCUUUCUCUGUUGAUGACACCCUAAUGGCAGUUUAAUAACUUGAUGCUAGGCAUUUACUUAAAGACCAGAAUAAUAUACCCAUCACUUGAACAUUCUGAGACUAGCUUGCCUUGUUGGUGUUUACUUUUCUGCAUUGAUUCCCACAACUUGCUUGUUUGUAUAACUGUCAUUAAUCAGUGUUCUAGCCUUUCCUUCAUUGGAGGUAUGUACACACUAUGACAAUUCCAGUGGGCCUUCAACUUCAGUAGAGGUUAGCAGUUUCUCAAACAGACCUCUGCUUAGAGGACUGGUCAUGUUACAUGACCUCACAAUGUAUAGACUUCUAUUUUGAAAGAAAAUCCAAAUAAAACCUGUUGCCUCUGAA